rnacentral:rRNA from 1 species
GAUGAACGCUGGCGGCGUGCCUAAUACAUGCAAGUCGAGCGAACGGACGAGAAGCUUGCUUCUCUGAUGUUAGCGGCGGACGGGUGAGUAACACGUGGAUAACCUACCUAUAAGACUGGGAUAACUUCGGGAAACCGGAGCUAAUACCGGAUAAUAUUUUGAACCGCAUGGUUCAAAAGUGAAAGACGGUCUUGCUGUCACUUAUAGAUGGAUCCGCGCUGCAUUAGCUAGUUGGUAAGGUAACGGCUUACCAAGGCAACGAUGCAUAGCCGACCUGAGCGGGUGAUCGGCCACACUGGAACUGAGACACGGUCCAGACUCCUACGGGAGGCAGCAGUAGGGAAUCUUCCGCGAUGGGCGAAAGCCGGACGGAGCAACGCCGCGUGAGUGAUGAAGGUCUUCGGAUCGUAAAACUCUGUUAUUAGGGAAGAACAUAUGUGUAAGUAACUGUGCACAUCUUGACGGUACCUAAUCAGAAAGCCGCGGCUAACUACGUG